rnacentral:rRNA from 1 species
CGUAUAAAAUCUCGAUUUAGUAAUUUUUAUUUGUUUUUAUUAAUGAAAGUUUAGGUUAAAGUAUAUUGAAAUUCUUAAUUUUAGGUAAUUUAUUUAGAUUACAUUGGGUAAAGAAGAACGAAUAUUUGAUGUGGAACUAGACUAAAUUUAAAUUUAAUUUUAAAAACUUGUAAAUUAAGAAUAUUUUAUAAGUUUAUUGCUACUAUAUAUUUAAAGAUUUUGUUCAUUUAGAAUAGCACCUAAUAGUUAAUGUCUUGUCCAAGGAGACUUUUCUGAUUUUAUGGCGGUUUUAGAAAUUUAAAGUUCUUGAAUUGAUUAUGAUGAAACCCUUUUUUAAUGUGAAUCU